CGGACGGGUGAGUAACACGUGGAUAACCUACCUAUAAGACUGGGAUAACUUCGGGAAACCGGAGCUAAUACCGGAUAAUAUAUUGAACCGCAUGGUUCAAUAGUGAAAGACGGUUUUGCUGUCACUUAUAGAUGGAUCCGCGCCGCAUUAGCUAGUUGGUAAGGUAACGGCUUACCAAGGCAACGAUGCGUAGCCGACCUGAGAGGGUGAUCGGCCACACUGGAACUGAGACACGGUCCANACUCCUACGGGAGGCAGCAGCG
rnacentral:rRNA from 1 species